AGUCACCAUUUCCCACGUUUUUUUCCUUUAAAGGAGAAUCCAUUUUUAAAGUUUGUCUGCAACCCUUUCAUAUAUUCUUGCGACCCACUUUUGGGUCAUGACCCACGGGUUGAGAAAUACUGCUCUAGAGCACUAGUACCUGGUUGACAUUUCAAUAGGAGUCUGCUACUGGUAGUAUUCUUUGUUGCUAUCCAGGAGUAGUUACACCUUUACUCCCAGAGGGCAGUGUUGCAUGUAAAUACCUUUUUGUGAAUCACUGGAUUCUUUGGAUCUCAGUAAACGUCCUUGAAGGAGGCCCUGCUGGGUGCUGAAUGAAUGUCAGUAAAGUUCCUCUAGUUUAGUCUCCCUUCAGAUAUGGACCCUCUUCCAUUCCUUUCCUCUCCUCCUUCCCCCUUUCCCACUCCUCCACUGCUCUGAUCCCUUCUACAAAACUUACUAGAAGCUGGCAAUAUUACAGUGUUUUUGAAGGAUUUUAUUCCAUAUGUCCAAAAGAAACCUGAACAAAUUAACUGUAGCGAGGUGGCUGUUAGUAAAGAGUGUUCCUACAUGCUUGACUUCCCAGCCCAGUAAAAUCAGUGCGGUCAGUUAGAAUCACAGAAGUGAUGAUGAGUCAGAUAAUGAUGACUACAGCUUUAGCAAGGGAAAGUUUUUUUCCGUCUGUUUUGCUCCUCUUCUUAAACACAGAGAGAGCACAUUAUCCAGAACUGUCAGCGCAAAAACCAAGAUGUGCACUUUUAAGGGAUUUCCUUCCUAUGAUUCAGUGAGUGUCUGAUAUUUUUAUUUGCAAGAGAGGAAGGAUGACCUUGUCAUUAAGGUAAAGGUCCUCUCUGAAAAGUGACUGUGUUAAAGUAUCACAGUAAGUGAUAGGUCUGCCCCCUGUGCAUACGCUGACAAGUUCUGAUGACCAAUCAUAAUUGUAAUAAUAAUAAUGGCUAUAAUAGUAAUAAUAAUAACAACAAUACAUACUUGCCGUCUUAGUACUGCAGAUGUCACAGCCAUGGAUGAGCAAGCUAGAAGACUGUAAACUUUGAGGUUCAUUGCUAUAUAUCAGCAGAUUGAAUGGUAAAAGUGAGAGCCUAGGUGUCAGGGAUUUCUUGAGUUCCAUUCCAAACCCUAAUGAAGACACUCAGGUACUCUAUAAUACUCUAUAAUUUACCCAUCAAUAAAAUAGCUAUAACUGUUUUCCUCACAGCUUCUUAAGACUUCACUUGGUUUUGUAAAGUGCUCUGCCAUCUUCAGAUAGUGAUAUACGUAUAGUGUAUAUAAUUGUAUAACCAAAUCAUAUUAUACAUAUUUAAUUAAUUUAUCUUUAUUCUUGUAUCACCUUUGCUGCCCCAGUGCUUCUGUUCAAGGCUUUAAGCACACAUGACAACACAAACAGUGCCGAAUUUAAACUAAAAAUUACAAAUAAACUACGCCUCCCUGAGUGAUGUUCUAUGUGUUUAUUUUAAUCUGAUAUUUCCUGGUUAGAAGCAAGAGGUUACUCCCCCACAGAGUGCAAAUAUCAAUAGAGUUACUCUCUCUCCAUAACAAGGGAAGUCUUUCAUGAUUCCCAGGAAAAGAGCUGUCCCUUUCCAACAGUGGGGGGAGUGGAAUACACAUAGCAGGAUAGUCUUUUCUUCUUCGCAGCUAUUCACUAUGGAUCAAAUCCUGAAGCUGUACUCAGUCCUUAUUCAAAAAUCAGUAGGAGGUUUCCUGACCUAGAACUAAGCAAAAGAUCAAUUAGAACUUCACUAUGUCUCCAGAGCGAAAUUCCUGGAAAGCAAACGUCCCCCAAAUCUAUCUGUAGAGAGCUCAGCUUCCACCUAAUUUUUCUGUGGGGGAGGGGAUCAUUUAAAAAUCCUUUGAUGGGGAAAACCCAAAUAAGGAGUAGCAUGUAGUGUACCAUGGUCUAAUCCGGUGCUGUUGGUCCUUGUAUUUCAUAAGGGCCAUUGGAGAGGGUUUAAUUAGCCACCAUUUUUUUUUUUAACAAAACUAGGUUUGUGUGUGAGCUGUAUGCCCAACUGAUAAGUACUUCAAGUUUGUUUUCUUUUUAGCAUUUUUAUAAGUUUCUAAUAUCUGCUGAGUCUAGCCUGUGAUGAAUGUAUCUAGCACCAGAAGUCUUGCUUCUGUUAUGAGAGGUUUUACAGAUGGAAGUUCAAAGCCCUCCCUCUCAGCACAAUUCAAGGGAGAAGAAAAAAGAGGAUCCUCUGUAAUUCCUUUUCUGAAUUAUCUGAGGUGUUUUUUUUACAGGGAGAUUGACCAGAAUAGCUAUUUUGGAUUAAUUCCUGAUGUGGAUAUUAUGUUCUGGAAUAAUGAUUCCACUUUGGAAGAUGACUUCUUACAUGGUUCCUCCAACAAAUUCCCUCUAGAAAGCACACUUGUUGUCAGCACUCAGCUGCUGAAGUAAAACCAUUCAGAUAAAGCACAGAACCAAAACAGAAGAAUAACAAAGCACAUCAUCACUAGAUGAAUCCAGAGCGCCCCAAGGGAUGACAAGGUCGAAUAAGCUGCAAGACCGUUUCAUGCUGG